UACAGAGGUCCCGAGCGUUGUUCGGAUUUAUUGGGCGUAAAGGGUGCGUAGGCGGCGGAGUAAGUUGGGUGUGAAAUCCCGGGGCUCAACCUCGGAAUUGCAUUCAAUACUGCUUCGCUCGAGUACUGGAGAGGAGGCUGGAAUUUACGGUGUAGCAGUGAAAUGCGUAGAUAUCUUAAGGAAGGCCGGUGGCGAAAGCGAGCCUCUGGACAGUUACUGACGCUGAGGUGCGAAAGCGUGGGGAGCAAACAGG
rnacentral:rRNA from 1 species